rnacentral:rRNA from 1 species
GGGUUGUGAGGUUAAGCGACUAAGCGUACACGGUGGAUGCCCUGGCAGUCAGAGGCGAUGAAGGGCGUGCUAAUCUGCGAUAAGCGCCGGUAAGGUGAUAUGAACCGUUAUAACCGGCGAUACCCGAAUGGGGAAACCCAGUGUGAUUCGUCACACUAUCAUUAACUGAAUCCAUAGGUUAAUGAGGCGAACCGGGGGAACUGAAACAUCUAAGUACCCCGAGGAAAAGAAAUCAACCGAGAUUCCCCCAGUAGCGGCGAGCGAACGGGGAGGAGCCCAGAGCCUGAAUCAGCAUGUGUGUUAGUGGAAGCGUCUGGAAAGGCGUGCGAUACAGGGUGACAGCCCCGUACACAAAAGCGCAUGUGCUGUGAGCUCGAUGAGUAGGGCGGGACACGUGGUAUCCUGUCUGAAUAUGGGGGGACCAUCCUCCAAGGCUAAAUACUCCUGACUGACCGAUAGUGAACCAGUACCGUGAGGGAAAGGCGAAAAGAACCCCGGCGAGGGGAGUGAAAAAGAACCUGAAACCGUGUACGUACAAGCAGUGGGAGCCCCACCACUAAGCCAGUGGUGAACUCCACAUACGCAUCCUUUGCUGAAGGCAAUGGUUAACGGAGCGAAAGCGACGUUCAACCGCAAAACAAGCAGAGGGGGCUUAGUGGUGGGGUGACUGCGUACCUUUUGUAUAAUGGGUCAGCGACUUAUAUUCUGUAGCAAGGUUAACCGAAUAGGGGAGCCGGAGGGAAACCGAGUCUUAACCGGGCGUUAAGUUGCAGGGUAUAGACCCGAAACCCGGUGAUCUAGCCAUGGGCAGGUUGAAGGUUGGGUAACACUAACUGGAGGACCGAACCGACUAAUGUUGAAAAAUUAGCGGAUGACCUGUGGCUGGGGGUGAAAGGCCAAUCAAACCGGGAGAUAGCUGGUUCUCCCCGAAAGCUAUUUAGGUAGCGCCUCGUGAA